GAAAAAAACAACCCUGGUUCUGAAAAACUCGAGUUUAAAAAAAAUCUCAUUAAAAUGUUUUUAUUGACAGUGGAACACAGUAAACAAUGAGUGUUCAAAACAAUAAAGUGUAAAAUCUUUGUUCAGAGGACUAAAGGCCAGAGGGUCAGCAGUCUGAGGAAAACUCUAAAAUAGUGAAACUUUCAAAAUAAAAGUCCUAAACUUCUCCAGUCCAUAAUCUCAUUCUCAGAUUAUAAUCUGCCUGAAAGUCCAUAAUGUAUGGUGGUGGUCUUCAGGCCCUCGGGUUCUGGUUCUGGACCUCAGUGCAUGGACUCAGGACCACUUCCACAGGUCAGCAUCCAGAACCUCUGCUGUCUUCUUUGGACCAAAGCUGGUUUAAAACGGACCGAGAAAAAGAGGAUCCAAAUCUGAAGUUCUGAUUGUGAAUAAAAGUUCAUGAGAUUUAAGAUAAGAUAAAACUUUAUUGAUCGCACAGUGGGAAAAUUUAUACAUUACAUUGUCCGGUAUUUUACCUGAAACUGAGACUUUUAAAACACAACAACCCACCAGACAUUAAACAAAGACAUCAGAGACCAAUAACAG